ACUCCUUUUAAGUGGGCACACAACCAAUCCACUUACGAUAGACUCCACUGAAUACUGAAAAGAGUGGAGAGGAGGGAAGGAGAAAGGAAGGGAUGGGGGAAAAAGAGGAGGGAGGAGGAGGAAAGGAGAACAGAAGAUGAAAGGACAUGUGGACGGGAAAGGAACGGAGUGAGGAAGAUGAAAAGAGGAGAUGGAGUUCAGAGGAAACGGAUCACGGAAAAUGAAUCCUGUUUGUGUGUUUUUUAAAAACACGUUUGACAGGAUGGACGGAAGGAGGGAGGACAGCAAGAACAAGCAAAGAAAAAGAAGAAAAAAGAGAACUGGCAGCAAAUUUAUUGCUAGAGAGCCUUUUGUCAGGAGGGACGACUACAUCCAGAGUGUUGUGGUGCUUUGUUGUCCCAAAGCUUGAGCCUACAAGGACUCUUCACACCAGAUAAGAACAUCCACUGUGUGCGUGUACCAGAAGCGACAGGAAGCAGGUACGCCAAUGGGAGACCCCGUCAGGACCCUCUUCCUGUUUGGAAGUUAACAAAAGACCCCAUCUGCCGUCUUCCUUUCACGUCAGCUCUGCACUCUUGGACUCCUGCCACCACCAGCCAUGCACCACCCCAGACACCCUUUUCCCUGGAUCACCUACUCGCCAGCACAUUGUCCCUGCUGUUUAC